AUGUACCACAACGGCGUGUACCACCUCUUCUACCAGUACAACCCGCUGGGCGCAACAUGGGGCACUGGCAACCUCUCAUGGGGUCACUCCGUAUCCCGCGACCUGGUGAAUUGGGCUGCCCUCGAUACCAUGCUCGACCCCACUGCCCUCUUCGACAAUAAUGGCUGCUGGUCAGGCUCUGCCACAAUCCUCCCCGGUGGCAUCCCGGCCUUGAUGUACACCGGCCGCAUCGACGCCGGCAAGGAGGUGCAGGUGCAAAACAUUGCUUUCCCCAAGAACCCUGUCGACCCGCUCCUCCGUGAGUGGGUCAAGCCUGCCUACAACCCGAUCAUACGGCUCCCGACCGACGUCCCCGGAGACAAAUUUCAUGACCCAACCACGGCAUGGGUGGACCACGACGGCCUAUGGCGUAUCGCGGUUGCGGCCAAGGUCGGCGGCCCUAGUGGCAUUGCCUCCACGCUGAUCUACCGGAGUAAGGACUUCCGACGCUGGAAGCGGAACACCUUGCCAUUGUACAUGUCACACACUGCUGACAUGGUCGAGUGCCCCGACCUAUUCCCGGUGGCGGAGCCUGGCGUGGAGGAGGGACGCCUCGGCUACACAUCCGGAAUGGCGAGUGGUGUUCUGAGGCACGUGCUGAAGCUGAGCGUGACAAACACGACUCAGGACUACUACGCGGUUGGGAGGUACGACGAUGCGGUGGACACCUUUGUGCCGGAGAUGGACGGCGAGCGCAGCGUCGACGACUGCCGCUCCUGGCGCCGCCUCGACUACGGCCACAUGUAUGCAUCAAAGUCCUUCUUCGACGCGCGCAAGAACCGGCGUGUGCUGUGGGCAUGGGCCAAUGAGUCGGAUGGUAAGGACGACGACAUCGCCAGGGGCUGGUCCGGUGUUCAGACGGUUCCAAGGAAGGUCUGGCUUGACAAAGACGGUAAACAGCUACGGCAGUGGCCGAUCAAGGAGAUCGAGACGUUAAGGAGUAAGGGAGUCGUCUGUUGGCUCGAAGCACAGGUGAAUGCCGGUGGCGUAAAAAAGAUUGUUGGCAUGGGUGCGCAGGCUGACGUAGAGGCCAUCUUCGAGAUCCCAUCCCUGGAAGAGGCCGAGACCUUCAAGCCAAACUGGCUGCUGGAUCCGCAGAAGCUGUGUGCGGAGAAGGGUGCGUCCGCGCGGGGCGGGGUCGGCCCAUUCGGGCUGCUCGUCAUGGCCUCUGGCGACUUGCGCGAGUACGUACAUCCGUCUUCUUCACGGUGUUCAAAUACAAUCAGAAGUACAAAGUGCUUAUGUGCACCGACCUCACAAGAUCGACUACGAGAGCGAAUGUGUACAAGCCGUCGUAUGGAGGCUUUGUGGACAUGGACAUCGAGGAGCAUAAGAGAAAUUGACCAUUCGGUGGUAGAGUGUUUCGGAGGCUUGGGACGCACAUGCAUCACGGCACGUGUUUACCCUAAGCACGUGGAGAAGAGCGAUAGCCACAUGUAUGUGUUCAACAACGGGACCGGUGUUGUGAAGGUGUCUAGACUCGAAGCAUGGAGGCUGGCAACCGCGACCAUAAACGCCGUCCCUGGUGGGUCAUAA
rnacentral:rRNA from 1 species